rnacentral:rRNA from 1 species
GGUCAAGCUACAAAGGGCUUAGGGUGGAUACCUAGGCACACAGAGGCGAAGAAGGACGUGGCGACCGACGAAACACUCCGGGGAGCUGGAAGCAAGCAUUGAGCCGGAGAUCUCCGAAUGGGGCA